CCACUGAACACUGACACCCGUCUGUUAAGGACACUGAACACACACACACACACACACACAAAAACAUGAUAAGGAUCAUCGCUCCAGACAAUCAAGCACGUUUAUUUAGCAUCUGGAAAUCUGCAAUGAGACGCCACUGGAGCAGCAGAGUGGAUAUUGAAUGUGAUCACACCUGUCCUGCUGGGUGAACAUAGAGACACUAAACAACACGCAUCACUGACUGACAUCUUAUACUUUAUAGCGGCUGCUUUUCAGAAGCCCUGACGUUCAUAGGUACGACGGCCUGCAUCGGUCUGAGCUCUGCUACGUGCAAAGGAAGUGGCCUCUGCUGUGGACUCAUGCUGUGAUCAGACCCACAAACAGGAAGACCCUCGACCACAACCUGAAUGAAUUGUCUAAAAACUUGCAACGCUUGAGUUUUGUCCAAACUGGUGGACAGAAGUGUAAAAUUUGAAAAGCGUUAAACUUCCGUUACUGAUGCCUUGAUUCUUUUCGUAGCCUGUGUCCAUGAAUGUUUGUAUUAUAAUGUGCAUAAGGCUACUAACAUCAUCUCAUACCUAUGUCUUUGUUUUUGUGAUCGCUAGCCUCUUUGGCAACUACGUAGUUAUACAUUAGUUUCAGCAUGUUUUGGUUCUGGUUGACAUUGUUUUUCUGUUUUCUAACAGAAUUAUGUAUAUUAUAUUACAUAUUAUAUUACAUACAUUAUACAUAAUUCAUAUGUAUAUUAAA